CACGUUCUCCAGCUCAGCUGACACUGCAGCGCCCUUGUCAGCGUGGAGGUGCCUGCAGUAUCGCAGCGCAGGUGGUGCCAAGGCUCUGCCUGUAAUUCCUUCCUGAGAAGACUCCAGGAUUGGUCCUUGUCUCCUUAGACAACCUACCAAAGAGCAGAUGGAGUGUCUGAGUUCCCGACCUGGUGCACACCUUGGUGGGCCAAGUAGGGAGCUGAUCUUCUAUCUCCUGCCCAGCAAAAGCAGGUGGUGCCAGGGUAGCAUUAGUGGAGUCCAGUAGUGGCCAUCUAUACCCAGCAACAACAAGGCCUAGCAAGAAGAUGCGAGGUAAAUCUAGUCACACCCUGCUUCACACCAACACCCCAUCAGCAGGACCCAAUGGGAAGCUGAGACUUCACCCCUACUCGGUAUUAACAAGGAAAAAGGAGGUGGUAGGAGAGAGGGUCAGUUGGCACUUAAUUCACCCCUCUCCUUCCCUGGCGUCAUUAGCACCCAGAAGAGAACUGACCUUCCAUCCCAUACCGGUGACAACAAAGUGAUGUGGGUCAGCUUUCAACUUCCCCCUUCCUGAUGGCAGCUCAGCCCAGUGGGGAGGGGAUGAUCUCACAUCCCCAUCUGAAGGCAACUGAGGUCAUGAGAUUCAAGAGGGGAGCUGAACUUCCACUCCAUACAUUUUCAACAAAGUUGGCUCAACAGGAAGCUGAAUAUACAUGGCCACCUGGACAUCCCAAUAUACCUCAACAAGGGACCCCAUGCUAAAAAAUAUUCAAUCAAUCUUGAGCAACAUAAUAAAAUAUCCAAAAUG
rnacentral:lncRNA from 10 species